ACCAUGUUUCUUUUAAGGUAAUCAACAAAAUUUGUAAUUGGGAAUUGUAUAAAGAAACCAAAAAUCAUAAAGAACGUUGUGUAUAAGUACUGCACAGUUCACAGGCUUCUGGAAAGUAGAAAAUAAUGAAAAAAAAAUUAGGGAGAAAUAUAAACCGCCAACACUGUUCCAAAACCUACUUAUUAGGUGUUCAUCUAACCUAAUUGAACUUUGAUAAGAAAAAAAAAACGAUAUACAAGAAAGGGAAUAAACCUCUGAUCAUUUGAGAGAGAAAUGGGAGCAGGAAAAUACAAUUUGGUUUACCUCCAAUGUCAUUGGCUUUAGCAACUGGAGGGCAGACAUCAUGUCAGCAAGAUUUGCAGCUUCAUCAUGAAUACUUCUAAAAAAUGAUUGGUGUUAUACAACAAGAAUAUUCUUUGACUCUUAUAGCAUUCUUGUUUUUUUAAGUCUUCCUUUGAUGAUUUGAUGGGCAUCAUUUUCCAUGUUUCUUCUUUCUCCUUGGUGCGCCCCCAUUAGCAGGAUCUACCAAUGGGCCUGACCAGGUUUGGAUGUUUGCUUUAGGUUGUGAGAAGUUUGUGGAACUAAAUGGAACAUCAGGAGGAUCAAAAACUGGAUCCAUGUGAUGUGAAGAACCCAGUGGAUAGCCUAGAGCUCCAUCUUGGUGAGGAGGAGGAAACUUUUCACUCUUGCUCUUAGCAUUUGCAUGUGUGAUCAGCCGCCGUCUCUACAGUAAGAAUUAAAGUUCAGCAUUGGCCUCUGGAACUGGAAUUCCCCGCCCAGCUCGCUCUCGAGGACGAGAUUUCUUGACACCGUCAACAUUAGCUUUACCAGCUGCUCUCAAUCUACAAGAUGACAUUGAAAUUAAAUACUGA
rnacentral:sRNA from 1 species